rnacentral:rRNA from 1 species
GAAACUGUAGGUAAUACUGGAUAAUAUCUCCGGAUCAAAGGUGUGAUUCCGGCCGAGGAUGAGUCCGCGUCCUAUUAGGUUGUUGGUGAGGUAAUGGCUCACCAAGCCAAAGAUGGGUACCGGGUGUGAGAGCAUGGCCCGGCUCACUGGGACUGAGACACUGCCCAGACGUCUACGGACGGCUGCAGUCGAGAAUCUUCCGCAAUGGACGAAAGUCUGACGGAGCGACGCCGCGUGCGGGAUGAAGGCCUUCGGGUUGUAAACCGCUGUCAGUUGGGAGGAAAUGCUAUAGGGUUCUCUCUAUAGUUUGACCGAUCUUCAGAGGAAGUACGGGCUAAGUACGUGCCAGCAGCCGCGGUAAUACGUACCGUACGAACGUUAUUCGGAAUCACUGGGCUUAAAGAGUCCGUAGGCGGCUUUAAAGGUGAGGUGUGAAAUCCCACGGCUUAACCGUGGAACUGCGCUUCAAACCAUAAGGCUAGAGGGAGAUAGAGGAAAGCGGAACUGAUGGUGGAGCGGUGAAAUGCGUUGAUAUCAUCAGGAACACCGGUGGCGAAAGCGGCUUUC